CCUCUUGUUCUUGCCAGGCCUGGGCAGCAGAGUGCUCAGCUUCGUUAUGUCUGGAGGUAGAAGAAACUCUGCCCAGGGUUCCAUCUUCAGUGCCAGCAGCUUUUCGAUUUAUUGGUUCUGCCCUCACGCACCAAAACAAAG